ACACUCCUGCGGGAGGCAGCAGUGGGGAAUAUUGGACAAUGGGCGCAAGCCUGAUCCAGCCAUGCCGCGUGAGUGAUGAAGGCCCUAGGGUUGUAAAGCUCUUUUGUGCGGGAAGAUAAUGACGGUACCGCAAGAAUAAGCCCCGGCUAACUUCGUGCCAGCAGCCGCGGUAAUACGAAGGGGGCUAGCGUUGCUCGGAAUCACUGGGCGUCAAGGGUGCGUAGGCGGGUCUUUAAGUCAGGGGUGAAAUCCUGGAGCUCAACUCCAGAACUGCCUUUGAUACUGAAGAUCUUGAGUUCGGGAGAGGUGAGUGGAACUGCGAGUGUAGAGGUGAAAUUCGUAGAUAUUCGCAAGAACACCAGUGGCGAAGGCGGCUCACUGGCCCGAUACUGACGCUGAGGCACGAAAGCGUGGGGAGCAAACAGGAUUAGAUACCCGAGUAGUCCCAUGA
rnacentral:rRNA from 1 species